UGAACUAUUUUACCCUGAAAGAUAGGAGAGAUUAGAUUACCAAUCCAUAUUUAUUUGCGACAUUUCAAUAACACUAACCGUAACUCACUUCGAAUAAGUAAAUUCGUCGAAAUUAUUUAAAACACGUCUGGUAUAAUUUUAUUUUGAGUACACUAUUUCUACCAAUAAAUUUAUUCUUCGAAAAUAUUACCAAAAUCAAUCUUCGAUAAUAUUACGAAAAGCGUCGAAAAAUAUUGAACAGACAAUUGAUUAAAAUACGAGUUCUAUGAACUAUUUUACCCUGAAAGAUAGGAGAGAUUAAAUUACCAAUCCAUAUUUAUUUGCGACAUUUCAAUAACACUAACCGUAACUCACUUCGUAUAAGUAAAUUCAUCGAAAUUAUUUAAAACACGUCUGGUACAAUUUUUUUUGAUUACACUGUUUCUACCAAUAAAUUUAUUCUUCGAAAAUACCACCAAAAUCAUUCUUCGAUAAUAUUACGAAAAGCGUCGAAAAAUAUUGAACAUACAAUUUAUUAAAAUACGAGUUCUAUGAACUAUUUUACCCUGAAAGAUAGGAGAGAUUAAAUUACCAAUCCAUAUCUAUUUGCGACAUUUCAAUAACACUAACCGUAACUCACUUCGUAUAAGUAAACUCAUCGAAAUUAUUUAAAACACGUCUCGUAUAAUUUUAUUUUGAUUACACUAUUUCUACCACAAAAUUUAUUCUUCGAAAAUAUUACCAAAAUCAAUCUUCGAUAAUAAUAUGAAAAGCGUCGAAAAAUAUUGAACAGACAAUUGAUUUAAAUACGAGUUCUAUGAACUAUUUUACCCUGAAAGAUAGGGAGAUUAAAUACCAAUCCAUAUUUAUUUGCGACAUUUCAAUAACACUAACCGUAACUCACUUCGUAUAAGUAAAUUCGUCGAAAUUAUUUAAAACACGUCUGGUACAAUUUUAUUUUGAUUACACUAUUUCUACCACAAAAUUUAUUCUUCGAAAAUAUUACCAAAAUCAAUCUUCGAUAAUACUACGAAAAGCGUCGAAAAAUAUUGAACCGACAAUUGACUAAAAUACGAGUUCUAUGAACUAUUUUACCCUGAAAGAUAGGAGAGAUUAAUUUACCAAUCCCUAUUUAUUUGCGACAUUUCAAUAACACUAACCGUAACUCACUUCGUAUAAGUAAAUUCGUCGAAAUUAUUUAAAACACGUCUGGUAUAAUUUUAUUUUGAUUACACUAUUUCUACCACAAAAUUUAUUCUUCGAAAAUAUUACCAAAAUCAAUCUGCGAUAAUAUUACGAAAAGCGUCGAAAAAUAUUGAACAUUCAAUUGAUUACAAUAGAGUUCUAUGAGCUAUUUUACCCUGCUCGUACAUAUCUCUCAUUGAUUGAGAAUUCAAAGAUAUCAGAUAUCUGUCUGUAUAUUUUUGUACAUAAAGCCACUAAUUGCAUUAUUAAGAUACAUAUGGUAUUUGGCAUUUUUUUAAAUGUUUGUUAUAACGUAUUACAGUCGUGCUAUACAGAAAAUUGGAAAGAAUUAUUAUUUCAAAUGUCUAUGCACCUAUACAAUAUAAUUGAUGUACCUUUUUGUAGACAAACAUAUUUUUACUUUCAGUUAAACGUUUAAAAGCAAAUAUAAUGAUUAAUGUUAUACAUAUCUUGUUCAAAGAUCCUUUGUGUUGAUUUGUCGACACCUAUAUAUUUCUACAUCUACACAUAUGCUAUUUUGUUCUUAAAGCAUUUUGCUCAUGCUAGAGAAGGAUUUAAAAAUGUUUUUUUUACAGUUUUAUCUUGUCAUAAUUUACAUACUUUGUAUAUAUGUUUAUGUAUUGAAUAUUGAUAGUGUAUUUAAUUAUCGUAAUUGUAAUUUCUACACUUCCACGCAUGCGGUUUCACUGCCGUAGCAACCACAUUUGUAUAUCCGUACUUGUAUUAUCGCCUCUAAUUUGCAGAUUACUUGUUCUUUCGAUAUUCACAUACUAAUAAAGUAUUUUUUUACACUGGUUUAAAUUUCCAGUCAUGUCUAAUGACUACCAUAACUAAUUAUGUUGAAGAUGUAGUUAGAAUCUUGAUUAUUUAAAAAACGCUUCGACAUGUGUAAAUAUUUUAUACACAUACUCACAAAAAAAUAUGCUUAUAAUCUGAGCAGAUAUGUUGUAUAUGUAGGGUAUAUUUGUUUUGUAAUAACAGUGAACUUCAUGUCUUCUAAUACAUGUAUGCAUUCAUUUCAACCAUAAAUAUCAGUUUCAGCAAUAACCGCUUAAUCAGAACUCACCUUAAUGUAUUGCAAUAAAAUGCAACAAACUCUUUUGGUUGAGUAAAAUUUGUUGUUUAUUGUUACUAAUGAUAUUUUUGAUAUUAAUUAUCUUAUUUCAUUAAAUAAUUGUAAACGUUUAACUUCACUUGAAAGUAAAGAACUUUUUUUUAUUAAAAACAUAUCCGUAGUCAAAUAAUAAACGAUAGCAUCCAUCCGCUUCUUAAUCAUCAAAUUUUUCAGUUAGCAAUAUACACAUAUAGUCAUUUGAAUAGAAUCACAUGCAUUAUUAUACCAUUUUUCACUUUUUUCAAAUUAUUUGUUUGCAAAAACUCGCUUGAAUGAUGUAGAGUUGGGGCAAAAGUUAUUGGAAUAUGGAAACAAUUAAAUUUAACAAUCAAUUUCAUGCAGCUUGCAGUAAUUUCGAAAUGAAAUGUUUUCUAAAAAGAUAUGCAUGAAUAACCUGUGGGAAUGAGAACUCUAUACAAAAUAAACCGUAUUGAAAAAGGAGCAAAUAAAAUUCGCGAAAAUAUAUCUGUAAUAAAAGUUGUAAAACAAAAUAUAAACAGUUCAAGUCUAUGGAGGAAGUAAUAUAUGAAAUAAGAGAGUACAUAAGAUAUAUAAUUCAGUUGGUGAAAAAUUUAAAAUCCAAAGCAAAUAAUAUUUAUUUCAAUAUAUUAAAGAAAGGAAUGUGAUACUGAGUGAAAUACUAAACAGUAGAGACUUAUGAGUCAGAGCAUAAAAAAGGACUUUUUCUGACGUGAAAAUUGUGCGACUUAACUGAACUCAGCUGAAUUAGCCUUGAACUCUCUGAUUACUUGCAGUUGUCUAGCGCCCUCGUCAGAGAAAAUUUUGCACAAUUGCAAAAUUGGAAAGGAACGAUAACUUACAAACAGUAAAUCAAAGUGAUGAACUGGGAAACACAUUUAGGAUGCGAGCUUUGACCAAAUCGAAAACCAUGAAUAAUAACAAAAAGAAAAGUUCAGAACAAAAUGCGGUAUGCAGUUUCGUAAAAAAACUCGCAAAUAUAGUAAACACUGAGCAUUCCAUAUGUUUGCCACGAAUAAAGACAACGGAAGCUACCUGCAUACAUAUGACUGGGAUAAACAUGAAAUGAAAUAGAAAUAGGAACAAACGAAGAAUAGGAAAAUGGAAUAAACAGAGAAAAUGUGAAAAUAGUAUUGUGUUAAAGCGUGGAUAUUUUUUUGACCAUAUUUGUAGAAAUUUCAAAGUUUAGAAAUUUUUCGGAUACUUCUAUAAUAUUUUCAUAAAAAAAAAAUUAUAAUAAGUGUAUAUCAAAUCAAUUAUUAUUCUUUUUAAUUACGGCAUUAUUUGUAGCAAACUAUUUAAAUAAAUGAUGGCUUUUGAUCCAGUUUUUUUAUAUUUAAAAACUAUAUUCAUACUUUCCUAAUAUAAAAACAAUUAUAAAAAAUAUGAUUUGUAUAUGUCUAAAAACCCAUUGUUGGCAUUGAUUAAAAGUGCUGAAUUUUUAUUCUUCACUUCAAAGCUUCAUUAUUGAAAAUUUUUCAAAAUUCUACAAUUAACUUUCACCACGAAACUACCAAUUUCAAUGUAAGUUUUUGUUUCGAUAGAAAACUAGUUUUCUACAUAACUUCAAUUUUAUGAGUACUCUUAAUUCAAGAAACUUCAUUGAAUUUUUCUAUGUGAUUAAUUUAUUAUUCAAUAAUAUUUAAUGUCAAUUUUUCGGGGUGAGGUUCUUCUCUAGCUUUUAUAUGAAUAUCUUUCAUAAUACCUCAAUAAAAAUAUAACUCCUCUGUGGUCUUCUCAACUCCACAAAAAUGAACCUCACCCACCAAAAUAUAUAAACAAAGAGAUCAAAAUUGCACUUGCAUAAAAUUCGUUAAACGAGCAUGGAUGACUUUGCGGACGACCGAAGGAACCCACUUAAAAACUGAACAUGAGCGCGUUGCAGAUGAACGACGACCGAGGAGGCGAAUAAUAAGCUAGCUGGAGCUGGAGCCCAAAGAAGAUUUUUGAAACUACUUCGAAUAACAUGGAAAAACACAACAUACGUUUUUGAAGGUUCCGUUAGUUACUCACAAGAAGCAUCUCCGUGUGAUAAAUAUCAGUCUUGAGUUGAAAUUUCAUCAGACUUACAUACAUACAUUAUAUAAUGUUUACUAGUUACUGUUUGUUUUCUUCGCCUGUUGUGUAAAAAGAAAUUGCAAUUUAUUUAAUAGUUGAUAAGUUUAAUAUAUUUAAUUAUAAAAACAAUAACAAAUAAAUCAAUGUUUCAAUAUAAAAAACGAAACAUU